GCCCGCGCCCCGGACCCGGGCGUGCCCCCCGGCGGCGCAACCCGGGACCCUGGCCCGCUACCCCCGGAGACCGCUGAGGCCCCGACUUCCAGGGCCCCGCGCCCCCAGGCGCCCAUCUGUUCGCCGAAGGCUUAAAGUCCCUGAGCCUGACCCCUGAACCCUCGCCCCGGAAGUCAGGGUGACUCGAAGUUCCGGCUCAGUCGCUAGGAAACGGGCCAGCCCCACGCGGGGGGCGGCGCUUCUGGCCUCGCCUACUGGCUGCGGAAGGCAGGUGGAGCAGGAGGAUGAGCAGUAAGAAGGGGGGACCCGAAGCUGCCCCAGGGAAGUGGCAGACGUCCUUCCACAGAGCCAACCCGAGCCGCUGCUGGUGAGUGUGAGCCCUCUGACCUCCAACCCUGCUCAGACUCUGACGUGUGAUACAUGCUAUGCAGCCACCCAGGGACAGUACUUCUGGGAAGACCUUUCUCUCUGAGAAUGGCCUUCAGGGGAUCUCCGAGUCAGGCUUGAGUGUGGUGGACUGAGAACUCAGAGCUCAGAUGUCCAUUCCAGACCCUGACCCUGAGUCUUGUACCCCUGGGGCUGGGACUGGGGUUGGGGUCCUGGGGACAGUGUUCAGAGGAACGUGGCUUUAGGACACAUGGAGAUGGGAAGCAGGCCCGUGUGGACUGAAUAUAGGUUCUGAAACAGGGCAGGGCUUGAGUUCAUGUUGGGGAUUCUCAGACUAAGCAUGUGGUCCACUCUGACCCUCUGCUCCACCUAGGCUAUCCUGUGCUUUUUCUUGUCUGCUGCUUCUCCCUCAGGCCAUCCUCUCUUUAGCCACUUCCAGGCUGAAAGGUGACAGCUUGUCCUUGGCCUCCUGGUCCUGCUAUGGGCCAGGAAGGGCAUCUCUUCCCAUGUCCACCCCUACCCAUUGUUACUCUUCUUCUCUGAGUCCCAUUUCUUCUCCGUCAUGACACUCAUCUGAGUUCUUUGCUAAGCUGCCAGCACCUUCCAGGCUGCGGCUCCGGGUCCUCCCAGUACUGGGAUCUGUGCUUGCUAAGAGAGCCCCACACCCUGUUGCUCUGCUGCAGCCCCUCUGCUUGGAGUGGGCCUGGACCCCAGAGGCCUCCCAGAUCCCAAGACCUGGAGGGAGGGUGGCGACUGCUCUCCACGCCAAGCCAGGUUAGCCCCUAGCUCCCCAAAACAGCCCCAGCCUCAUCUGAGGCGGCAGCUGUCCAGGAAUGAGGACCUGUCCAGGAAUCAGGCGCCACAUGUGGCUUCCGCCAUCUCAAGCCCUAGGAACAGGCUCUGCAGUAGACAGGAGGCUGGGCCGGUGGGCCAGGAAAAUGUCGGGGAGGGAGGGGGGAUGACGGACCUCAGUUCUGCUACCUGCUGACUGUCCACCUGGGCCCUGGACCCAGCCCUCACCCCACACAUUCCGAGCACUGUGCUGGGCAGCUCCCGCCCCGCCCACCUGGCCAGGAUGCCUGGGUUCUCUGCAGAGACACCUCUGCCUCAGUUUCCCUAGACAAGCUCCCUCCUUGGGCUCCCUCUACCUGUCAAGCAUUGGGCCAGCCCGAGAGGGCUUCCUGUGCAGCGGUCUUUGCCGUGCCCUGUGUGGUGGGCACCAGCCUCACUGUGCAGACAUGAAAGUGGGCCCACAGGUGUGCCGUGGCGCACAUCCAUCGGGCUCCGGCCUCCUGGAGCCCUGCGGGACCUGUAGGUGGCUCGCGGGGUCACCACGCCCCCGGGGCUUGUCCGGACCCUCCCGUACCUCCACACCCCCUCCAGGCCUUACCGGGUCCUGGGUCCGAAGCGCCUCAAGGCCCUCGCACCGCAGUUGCUCCAAGGCCAUGGCCAGCUCCAGCCCCUCCACUUGCACCCAGGCCUGCUCCUCCUGACACAGCUGCAUCUGCAGCUGGACCUGCCGCCGCUGCUCCUCCAGCAGCAGCUGCUCCUGGGCCAGGCACAGCUGGACCUCGCGGAGCCUCAGCGGCUCGGGGCCCCAGCCCGGCGUGAGGCCGUCCACCCUGCAGCCUUCCACGUCCGCAGCGGGGACCGGCACCGGCUCGGACCCCAGAGCGAUGGCCUUCUCCGGCUUAUUGGCUACCUGAGGCUGCUCUGGUCUGGCCACUCUGGGGUGUCCCCGGGCAGCCAGCUUGCUGCUGGUCACGUGCCCCGCAGGGGCCACCCCUGCCUCGUCCCGAGGGUCCCUAGGGGCAGGGGGCGGCGGCUCGGCCUCGGGGCCCUGCUGGCCCGUGGUCUUCUGUGCCCUGCCCGUCCUCCUGGCCCGGGGUUUGCGAGCUCGACUUCGUCUGCCAGACAUGGCCCUGACCUGGCGCCUGUGUUACCAGGUGUCUGCUCCCCGGGGGCCCGGGCUCAUCGGCUGGCCGGCCUCAAUCAGGCGGGCUCAGAGGGCAUCCCUGGGAGGCCACGGCGGUGGGCCCUCUGCUCCUGCAGCCCCUCGUGUCUGCCCUUCCCCUUGGCUGGUGCCCACAGCACCGAGGCUCUGGCCUGGGCUCUAGCUGUGGGCCUCACAGCCCCACUCUGCACGCAGGCUGGGCCACGCCAGAGAGUUUACAGGGACUUGGCAGCGUGGUGGCUCACCCGGCGUGAAGGCUGACUGACGGGCUGACACAGCACAGGAUUGUAUGGGCACGGGCCUCUUUGGCCAGACUGGGAGGGAGACUGAGAGAAACUGGAGGAGGUGACGCCCGGCAGCCAGACCGCCGGGUGUGUGUAGCGAUGAGUCUGGUCUUGCCCUGGGCGGGCACCGGUGCCCCACCACCCCUGUCCCACCCUGUCCACCCCCGGUCUCAGGAAACUCCAGCUGCAGCCCACAGGGCUAGGAGCCGCCUCCCCAGACUCCCUGGCCAUCCAGACAAGACGCUCCCCAGCCACAGACAAUCCUAACCCAACUACCACGGGAGCCCCUGGCUCAGCCCGCGCUCAGCACCUCAGCCCCCAGCCAGCGUGCUCGGAGGAGCCUGGGGCGCCCAAGCUUGUCUGUGGCGCUCCCUCGUGUGGACUCCUGCUGGGGGCCAGGCUGCGCCGGGGGAAGAAACUGGACCUUGAAAGGUCCAGGUGGCAUUUUGUGGACUGAGAUGGGGUGGUAGGAAGAGCCGGCCUGCCCUGAGGUGGGGCAGGGCUCUUGGGGACGCCCUGGUUGGGGGGUCCGGCUGCUCAGCCCGCAGGGGCCCAAGGAGACCCCACGUGGCCAGCCUUUGGAGCCCUGGGGACGCAACUGGGGGAGGAGGUGCAGGGGCAGCCUGAGUGCAGGUGGGAGGGAGGCUUGGGACCGACUCCUCCCCAGCAUUUCCCCAGCCCGGGGCCGCUGACUCACACCCACGCCCAGGGCCCCAUCCCAGCCAGCUCUGUCACACUGGCUCUACUGGUUUGCCUGGCCCAGCCCUGCCUGCUGCACCCCCUCCCGCUCAGCCCUUUCCCCAGAGGCUUGGCGGGGAGGUCGACAGCCAGCACCGCUGGGGAGCAGGGUGGGCGCCCCCGCAAGGGAGUAGCACCAGGGGGGUGGGGGGAGCAGUGUUAGGGGUUGGGUAGGGCGGGCAGAGGGUCCGCCCACCGGAGGCCUCUCCACACCUGGGCUCGCGAGCCUGGGCUUCGGGCCCCAGGUGCGGGGCGGUCCUGCCCGCGGGCGCUCGCCCUGCGGCGCCCCGCGGAGGCCGUGUUUGCUGCGAAGGCCGUGGCCCCGUCGUGGUGGCUUCGCGACGCGGCUGCAGGCGGCCGCUCCUGCACAGCCGGGGCGCGGCCCCUCUUCCGGUGGCCCGUACAUGUCCGCAGCUCCGCCGCGCUGACCGCCCCCCUGCCCCCGGGAAGCCAGGAGAGAGGAGCCAGCCGGCGACGGGGCCCGCACCCCGGAGCGCCCCGAGGCCCCGACAGGUCUUGCCUCCUGCGGCCCAGACCCACAUCCAGGCGCAUCCCAGCCCUCCCCUGGGUGUCCUCGAGCUCCACAGCACAUCCAAAGCGCACACCCGUCACGGCCUUCCUCUCGCGCGUCUGGUCUGCUGCGACUGCUCCCUGCUGAGCCUGUGCCCGAGCCCCCACCCCCAAGGACGGCUCUCUGUGCUCCGGCUUCCUUCACUCCCUCCCACCUUGCUGGCCGCUCACCCCGGCUCCGAGCCGGCCUCUCCGUUCUGCUCGGUCUGGUGGCCACCAGCAGCCAGUGUCGCGUGCAAGUGUGAUCCUUCCCAGGGUGGUGCUGGCCUUACCCCCAGAUAAACUCCCAGCACCACCGGUCACCUUUGUACCUCCGACCCCCCCAAGGGCCAGGGUAAGGAGCCUGACCUUGUCCUGAGGACAGAGCCGGACCACAGGAGGUUUGCAGAGCCCUGACUGUCAAUUUUAUAGAAGUUAUAUGUGCCCAACGUAUGUAUCAGAAGGACGUCCAGUAGCAGGAGAUCUGGGCUCGGCAAGAGGCAGGAAUGAGGGAGUGGAGGACACGGGCAGGUCAGCCCCGGAAGAUGUCCCGUUAGGAUGUCCAGAGGCGGCGGCCGCUGCUGUGCUCUCGACUUUGCAGCUCCGCUGAGGAUUGUCUCUAAUUGUCCAUGUCCUGGCGUCUCUUUCUCAAGGCCCAGGCGCCUGGUGAGAAGUCCAGUCUGCCCUUAGGUCAUGCUCCCAUUGUCAGGCAAAGGAGGGACGGAUGUCUGUCGCCCUUCCCCCAUUUUGGUUUCUGUAGUGGGAAGUGGGCUUCCACUGAAUUUUCUAGAACAGAACCCAGCCUUACAAGGUAGGGGUUCCGAGUCUUCAACAGGCCAGCGUCAUGUGGAGGAGCUGCUUUCCCACUCUGGGUCUGCUCCAAGAAGUCCAUCCAGAGAGCAUCUUCCCCAGCCUCCCGUCACCACCCGCGUUCUUGAUGAUCUGUCCAAACUGUCAGCCAGAGUGUAUGAGUUGAUAUAAAGAAGGUUAUUUGGUAGGACGGUAUCUGGUCUAGAUCAGCCUUGAUUAGAGGGCCUUGUGCUGUUGGGCCCACGUGUCACUAGCAUCCCUGCCACCACGGCCACUCUGUUCGUGGGCCUUUGCCUAAGCACUGGGUGGCCGAGGAGAAAGGCUGGCCAAUGUCCAUAGGACAGUUGUGAUGUCUACCUGGGUGUCUGAUGCCUCCUCUGCAGUGGAUCCUCUCUGGGGGCAUCACCGUGAGACGCAGAGCCAGCCCCGCACGCUCGUUGCCCGCAAACCUGGCCCCCGCUGCUGGUGCAUCCGCGUGCCUUUCCCUGGGCCUGCGUGUCGCUGUUGCUCCAGGCUUGUUCAUUUCAGGCUCCCAAUGCACCGGCCAAGCCCUUCGCCGUUGCCCUGCGCACCGCACGCCACUCUCCUUCCCAUCCACGGGAAGCUGAGAACCAGGUACCCCGGGAGAUUUCCCUCCUCCGCUGUCCUUUGGGACCUCCCGAGAGAGGAGCUGUGAUGGGGCAGUGGUCAGUUUGACUAGUGCCACCGUGUGGACUGAGCUCUGUGAAUCAAGCCCGAGUCCCUCCGCCACCACCUCCCCCAGGAAUGCCAUUGGCGUGGGCUGGGGUCCUGGGAAGCGGCACCGACCCUCAGCAGAGAGAGGGGUGUGGACAUCUUCCUCCCGCUGGAUGUGUCCUUUCUGUCGUAAAGGAUCGCUCUGUGUGCGCCCGACGCCUCAAGUCCGUGGAGCGAGGACCCCGGCUCAGGGUGGGGAAUUCAGGCUGCUUGUCCUCCGGUGCCCCAGUUGGACUUCCAGGCUCCACUGGGGCCGACAGCAUCCCGGGAGCUGUUCUCCAGACCUAGAACUGUGUUCUAGCAGGGAAGGCGCAGCCUUGCUCUGGAGCCUGAAGUCUAUGCCGCGGCCCUCCCACCGGGUUGGCCGGGGGUCCCACACAGCAUCCUUCUCCCCACAAAUACCUGCAGCUUAUCAGACCUGCUGGCCACCUGGCCCGGCAGCCUGGCAGCUCACGCCUCUGCCAUGGCCUCUGGGCUUGGCCGUUAGCCCGGGUCCCCCAGGCCGUGGGUGGGUGCUGUUCCCGAAUACGGCACUUGCUCCGGAGCUUUGAGAGGCCUGCCAAGCGCUGGGCCUCUUUCCUGGCGGAAGGAGGUCCAAGGCGUAGCAAUUUAUUUUUUCCUUUAAGGUGCCCUGGCAUGUCCCAGAUCUAUGAACCCUAAAAACUUCAUUAGCGUGGUUCUAUCUCCCACCCUCUGGAACUUCCUGGAUCAGUGAACUGUCGGGAUGACCCAGGUUCCUGUAUUAGUUCCCUGUAGCUGCUAAGAGAACAAUUAAUGCACAUUUAGUGUCUUAUAACAGCGCAAAUUUAUUAUCUUGCAGGUCUGUGGGUUAGAAGUCCGACCUGGGCUUCAGUGGACUAAAAUCAAGGUCUCGGCAAGCCGGCCACGCUUCCUGCAGGCUCUGGAGGACCAUCUGUGUCUUCAUCCUCUUCAAGCGCCUAGAGGCGCCCACAUUCCUUGGCUGGUGGCUUCUUCCUCCACCUUCAAAGUCAGCAAUCUUCUUCCAAAGUCACAGCUCCCUCUGCUUCUCUGCUGUCCCCCUCUUCCACUUGUAAGGUCCCUUGUGAUCACGUUGCACCUACUCAGAUAAUCCCGGGGGGUUUCGCUAUCUUAAGGUCAGCCGAUUGGCAACCUUAGUUCCAUCUCCAAUCUUGAUUGCCUUUUGCCAUGUAACACAGUGUAUUCACCAGCUCCCGGGGACAGGACAAGGACGUCGUUAGGGGGCUGUCAUUCUGCCCACCGCAGUCCCUAUGAGCUAUAUUGUGACAGGAGGCCAGAGAGUAACCGUGGUCCUGACACAGGACAGGGAAGGCCUGCUGCGUGGACGCUCUGCAGGCACGGACAGGAGGAGAAAGCUACGGCCAGUCAGCCGUUACACGCCACAGUGCCAGAGGCUGUGUGGAUCUGCUGCAGUGGAGACGCCAUCUCCAGCCUGGCAGCCCUGAUUGCUUCUGCUGCCUGCGUAAGUUUCCUGUCAUCCACCAUCUUCCACGGUUAUUUGUUUCUCGCAAAGGCCAGACAGGACAUCUUGGUUGCCUCCAAGUUUUGCCUCCAACUGUGAAUAAAGCUGCUGUAAACGUCUGCGGACAGGAUUUGAUGUGAACAUAAAACUUCCACUCCUUUCGGUAAAUACCAAGGAGCACAACUGCCGAAUCUUUAGAGUAUAUUCAGUUUUAUGAGAAACCGCCUGUCUCCCAAGGUGGCUGCGCCGUCCUGUGUCCCCACCAGCAGCGGAGGCAGUUCCUGCUGCUCCGCACCCUCGCCCGCGUCUGGCGUCGUAAGUGUCUGCAGUAGGUGCGGAGUGGCCCCUCGCUGUUGUUUUAAUUUGCAUUUCCCUGAUGACAGAUGACACAGAGCAGCUGUCAUAUGCUUACGUGCCGUCGGUAUAUGUUCUCUGGUGAGGCGUCUGUUCAGGUGCUUGGCCCCAUUUUAAAAUCAGGUUUCUUCCUGUUGGGCUUUAAGAGUUCUUUGUAUAUUUCAAAUAACAGUCCUUUAUCAUUUGUAUCUUUUGCAAAUGUUUUCUCCCAGUCUGUCUUUCGCAGAGCAGAAAUUUUUAAUUUUUUUAAAAUAUUUAUUGGCUGCGUUGGAUCUUCGUUGCUGCACGUGGGCUUUCUCUAGUUGCAGCAAGUGGGGGCUACUCUUCGCUGUGGUGUGCGGGUUUCUCAUUGCGGUGGCUUCUCUUGUUGCGGAGCACGGGCUCUAGGCACGUGGGUUCAGUAGUUGCAGCACGUGGGCUUCAGUAGUUGUGGCUCGCGGGCUCUAGAGCGCAGGCUCAGUAGCUGUGGUGCACAGGCUUAGUUGCUCCUUGGCAUGUGGGAUCUUCCCAGACCAGGGCUUGAACCCUUGUCCCCUGCAUUGGCAGGUGGAUUCUUAACCAUUGCUCCACCAGGGAAGUCCCGAAAUUUUUAAUUUUAAUGAAGUCCCACUUAUCAAUUGUUUCUUUUUCUUUUUUUUGGAUUUAUAGCUUUUGCUUGAUACUUGGCAAGUGCCCUUAGGAUUAAGCAACUUUGAAUGUUGGGCUUAUCUCUUUGGGUUCUGCCUUAUCCUAGAUGUUGUCCCAGGAAUUCCUUACUAUUUUUAUUUGUUCUUUAAUACUUUUAAUGGACAUUUUUUAAAUUUUUAUUGGCGUGCAGUUGCUUUACACCGUUGUGUUAGUUCCUACUGUACAGCAAAGUGAAUCGGCUCUACGAGUACAUACGUCCCCUCUUUUUUGGCUUUCCUUCCCAUUUAGGUCACCACAGAGCACCGAGUAGAGUUCGCUGUGCCAUACAGCAGGUUUUCAUUAGUUGUCUUUUUUUUUUUUUUUUUUUUUUUUGCGGUACGCGGGCCUCUCACUGCUGUGGCCUCUCCCGUUGCGGAGCACAGGCUCCGGACGCGCAGGCCCGGCGGCCAUGGCUCACGGGCCCAGCCGCUCCGCGGCAUGUGGGAUCUUCCCGGACCGGGGCACGAACCCGCGUCCCCUGCAUCGGCAGGUGGACUCCCAACCACUGCGCCACCAGGGAAGCCCCAUUAGUUAUUUAUUUUAUACAUAGUAUCAAUAGUGUAUAUAUGUCAAUCCCAACCUCCCAGUGCACAGUGAACGCUGGCAGAGGCCACUGACCCCUCCAGGGAAGGUUGGGAGAAUAGUCAUCAUUGGGAGAGCACUUGCAGAGGCAUCGCACGGUUCUUCUCCAGGGGCAUCUGGCAUCUUCUUCAGUCUAGGAGCUGUGAAUCUUUGACCUUGACUUAUGUCUGGGAACUAGACACUAGUGGCUGAUGUCAGAUUUCUGGUGGCAGAGCCUGGUGUUUCUCUGACUACACAAACUGAGCAAUAUCCCGUAGACUGCCCUGCAUCUCGCCCCGGGUCACGGCCUCCUGACCGCCGCCCUGCCUGCUGCCUAUCGCGAUACCAUCUCACCUCCGAGAGUUAAGCGCUGCUGCUUAGCGUCUUCUGUGCGGGUAUCCUGUCACCGCGUUGAUGUUAGGGCAAUGAAUCUGGCCUCCCCAGUACCAGCCCAGCCCCCAGAGGAGAGCCACCACUGAGCUCACGGGUGUGUUUUUUCAUUGUUUUGAUGAAGGGGUGCCCUCUGAGCCUUCCCAGGGGUCCUAGUCAGGUGGAGGCUUCAAGGCUAACAUUAGCCAUUUCCUGUGAGAACAAAGAAACCAACGUUGUUCGGAAGUAGUCCGCCUCUUCCUGGAGCCGACCUGCAGUUCCCCGCUCCAUCUGCUGUGAGCCCUGACUCUGACUGCUGGCCUGGGUGCAGCAAAGGGGGACCUAGGGACUUCAGGCGAGGUCCUCGUGGCUCAGAAAGACCGCUCUCCUCUGGCAAAGGGGCGGGAGACGUUUUCUGGUGCGGAACCAGCAGCCCGUGCUGGCGAGUGUGGCUGCUGCCGGGGCAGCACGAGAGCGGCAAGGACACAGGAGAGCGGAGCCCCCUCUGCUGCCUCCUGCCUGCAGGUCCCCUCGCGUGCCCCCUGCUGGCACAGAAGCUGCGUGGUUUGCUGCGGCCCCAGCAGCACAAAGCGGACCAUGGAAGGGUGGGCUUGAUGCCGAGCGGGAAGGCGCGCUGACCGGCGCUCUCGGCCUGGGCUGUGACCCGCACACACGCCCUUCCCACGCGUGGGAGCUUCCACACGGCAGCGUGUGCUUCUGCCUGACGGUGCAACGGUCCUGGGUGUGGAUGAAGAUUGUUUUCACUUUUUGGAAAGACAGUGAGACCAUGUCCCGGGGGCCUCUACAUCCCUGGGUGAUAUUAACUGCGCCUUAAAUUCAUUCACGUCUCACCUGGAACCUGGAUUUCCUGAAACUUAAAUACAGAAUUGUAAAGCUUACCAACACCAACAAACCUGACAUAAAAUAUAGGAGAAUAAAACAGAGUGGAAAAGGAAA